rnacentral:rRNA from 1 species
AGUGGGGAAUAUUGCGCAAUGGGCGAAAGCCUGACGCAGCCAUGCCGCGUGUGUGAAGAAGGCCUUAGGGUUGUAAAGCACUUUCAAUUGGGAGGAAAAGCUUGUAGUUAAUAACUGCAAGCCCUGACGUUACCUUUAGAAGAAGCACCGGCUAACUCCGUGCCAGCAGCCGCGGUAAUACGGAGGGUGCGAGCGUUAAUCGGAAUUACUGGGCGUAAAGCGCGCGUAGGCGGUGAUUUAAGUCAGAUGUGAAAGCCCCGGGCUUAACCUGGGAACUGCAUUUGAUACUGGGUCACUAGAGUACGAGAGAGGGGGGUAGAAUUCCACGUGUAGCGGUGAAAUGCGUAGAUAUGUGGAGGAAUACCAGUGGCGAAGGCGGCCCCCUGGCUUGAUACUGACGCUGAGGUGCGAAAGCGUGGGGAGCAAA